rnacentral:rRNA from 1 species
AUUGACACGACUUUCGGCAAUGGAUAUCUCGGCUCUCGCAUCGAUGAAGAGCGCAGCGAAAUGCGAUAUGUGGUGCGAAUUGCAGAAUCCCGCGAACCAUCGAGUCUUUGAACGCAAGUUGCGCCUGAGGCCAACCGGCCAAGGGCACGUCUGCCUGGGCGUCAAG